rnacentral:rRNA from 1 species
UACAGAGGUCUCAAGCGUUGUUCGGAAUCACUGGGCUUAAAGGGCGCGUAGGCGGGUAUUCAAGUCUAUGGUGAAAUCCGGCAGCUCAACUGUCGAAUUGCCGUGGAUACUGGGUAUCUCGAGGGAGGUAGGGGCGUGCGGAACUAAUGGUGGAGCGGUGAAAUGCGUUGAUAUCAUUAGGAACUCCGGUGGCGAAGGCGGCACGCUGGACCUCUUCUGACGCUGAGGCGCGAAAGCCAGGGGAGCAAACGGG